CAAAUAUCAAUACAUUUAACAUUCUAUAAAUUUAAAUUUCCGUCAGGGGCACAGGGCCAAGGUCCUAACAGCUAAGGAAACGUCCUACAAAUACCUGCUGUCAAGUGUCAAGCUAAAGCAGUGAAGAUGGCCCAUUGACGUUGAGUCUAAGUAUUUUCGAAUUUUCAAUAAUCUUUUGUUUUUUCAAAUUAUAAAUUAUAUACACCAGACACCUUAAAUUUUCAUACUAUUUUCUUAACCUUUAAAUAGGGCUUUCAAAAUCCAAAAUACUUCUCCAUUCCUCUGAUAUUUUAUCUUUCACUAAAAUCUGACUAAAUAAAAAUUUUAACUUUACA